rnacentral:rRNA from 1 species
AAAGUGGGUGGUAAAUCCCAUCUAAAGCUAAAUACCGGCGAGAGACCGAUAGCGAACAAGUACCGUGAGGGAAAGAUGAAAAGCACUUUGAAAAGAGAGUGAAACAGUACGUGAAAUUGUUGAAAGGGAAGGGCUUGCAAGCAGACACAACCCUCGUGGUUGGGCCAGCAUCGGUUGCUAGGGGUGGAUAAGGCGGCGGGAAUGUAGCUUCCUCGGAAGUAUUAUAUCCCGCUGAGAUACACCCACCGGCGACCGAGGCCUGCGAUUCUAAAUCAAGGAUGCUGGCGUAAUGGUUGCAAGCCGC